UGGUAUCAAAGCAGAGCACAAGUUUGUGAAGUCUGAACUCUCGGUUCACCAGAGUUGACGGAGAUGGCUCUUUAUGAAGAGAAGGUUGUCCCGGAA